CGCUGCCUGAACAACUUCCCUUUACAUCACUGCCCAAAUAAGGAGCUUUAAACUAACCUUUUCUAUUGCAGCCCGGCAGAAGAUCCCCCUGGAGUCCCAGGGUCCCCACCUCUCACCGGGCAGAGUCAUGGGAGAGCCGCGGCUGCAGCGCGGGGGGCAUGUGCAGACUGAAUUAAAUCGUGGGCAAACAAAAGAGAGACACCGCCAAAAUUACAGACUACCAAGUCCACUAAAUGUGGGAAAUACUUUUCCAAGGCUUUUGAACUCAAAAGUGGAACAGAAGGAAGACACAGGGGGACAUACACCGUUCAGUGUUAUUUUCCUUACACAGGAAAAAAAGAUCAUUAUGAGAUGAGCACUAAAGUCUCAAGUUUUCAAAGGUUUGCAUAACAAACAAGAGACACAUUGUGGGUUGCAUCUUGACUUUGAAGGCUUGCCACUGUCAACUGAAAUAAAAUGGCAAGGUUUAAAGCCUUAACCAAGUUCACAAGGAAAAUAUUUGGACUAAAAGUUUUGGAAAGUUUUCUCUCUUUGAAGUAGUUUGUCAUGUGUUACCAAUGUGAACUUUAUUGACCUUGAAACAUUUUUUUUUUUGAAUCAAAUAGCAACUAGUGACACUUUAGUAAAAUCUUAAAUCAACAACCAUCUCCUGGAGGCUCCAGCUUCGUAGCAAAUGCAGGCAAAACAGGGAAUCUACAGAAGAGACCUUUAUUAUUCGUAAAUGAAGCCUGCCAAAACCUUCCCGAAAUAGCAU
rnacentral:lncRNA from 1 species